rnacentral:rRNA from 1 species
GAUAAACGCUGGCGGCGCACAUAAGACAUGCAAGUCGAACGGACUUAACCAUUAGUUUACUAUUGGAGCGGUUAGUGGCGGACUGGUGAGUAACACGUAAGCAACCUGCCUAUCAGAGGGGAACAACAGUUAGAAAUGGCUGCUAAUACCGCAUAAGCGCACAGGGCCGCAUGGCCCGGUGUGAAAAACUCCGGUGGUAUAAGAUGGACCCGCGUCUGAUUAGCUGGUUGGUGGGGUAACGGCCCACCAAGGCGACGAUCAGUAGCCGGCCUGAGAGGGUGAACGGCCACAUUGGGACUGAGACACGGCCCAG